GGAAGGAUCAUUAUCGAAUAAACUUGAUCAGGCUGUUGCUGGCUCUUCUUCGGAGGGGUAUGUGCACGCUUGUCAUCUUUAUCAUUUCUCCCAACUGUGCACAUAUUGUAGACCUGAUUCUUUUUUGAAGAAAUUCAAGUUGGGGGACUGCUGUGCUUUCCAAAGUCGGCUUUCCCUUGUAUUUUUCAGGUCUAUGUCAUUUUUCACAACCUCUAGAAUGCGUUUAGAAUGUUGAAUCAUAUAUAUAAAGUUAAUAUACAACUUUCAGCAACGGAUCUCUUGGCUCUCGCAUCGAUGAAGAACGCAGCGAAAUGCGAUAAGUAAUGUGAAUUGCAGAAUUCAGUGAAUCAUCGAAUCUUUGAACGCAUCUUGCGCUCCUUGGUAUUCCGAGGAGCAUGCCUGUUUGAGUGUCAUUUGACUUCUCUCAACCACAUCGUCUUUUCAAUGUGGCUUGGAUGUGGGGGAAUUUCUUUGCAGGCCUUUUAAUUUUAAGAAGCCGGCUCCCCUGAAAUGCAUUAGUGGUGUCUGAGCUGCUAUUGGUGUGAUAAUUUAUCUAUGCCUUUGGUAAUGCUGGUCAGCGCCGCUUAUAACAAGACAAAAUUCAUUUGACAAAUUUGACCUCAAAUCAGGUAGGACUACCCGCUGAACUUAAGCAUAUCAAUAAGCGGAGGAAAAGAAACUAACAAGGAUUCCCCUAGUAACUGCGAGUGAAGCGGGAAAAGCUCAAAUUUGAAAUCUGGCAGCUCUUUGAACUGUCCGAGUUGUAAUCUAGAGAAGUGUUACCUGUGCUGGACCGUGUACAAGUCUCCUGGAAUGGAGCGUCACAGAGGGUGAGAAUCCCGUCUUUGACACGGACUGCCUGCACGUUAUGGUGCGCUCUCAAGAGUCGAGUUGUUUGGGAAUGCAGCUCAAAAUGGGUGGUAAAUGCCAUCUAAAGCUAAAUAUUGGCGAGAGACCGAU
rnacentral:rRNA from 1 species